GAGUGUUAAAUUCUAGAACCGUGAACUAUUCAUAAUUUAUUUGUAGCUCAUAUUUCCUAUUAAAUUCGUAUGCAAAAAGCAACCACUAAACGCCUCUAAUCAAAAGUCAAAAAACGAGUUCAAUAAACCAAAAAGCAAACAAGCCAAGCGCAGUUUUAGCCAAGUAAUUGUUAUUGUAGCUGGUAGCGGGUGUCAAGAGCAGUCAACAGUUUUUGUUUUGUCGAAGUCAUUAAACUUGGCUCGCAUUUGACAUUGCCAACUGGAAGUGAAUAGACAAACGGACGGAGGGACGGAUGGACGGACGAACAGUUUUGUCUACGUUCGAUUAGCAAUCGCAAAAUGGCCAAAAAUCUAUAUUUGCCAAGCAGUUCAUUCAACUGAUUUUUUGAUUUUUGCGCAUUUCAAACUUUCAACUCGAACGAAAAUGUUUCCUUAUCAGCAGCGCAGGUUCCACGAAUUUUAGUGGUUCAGUCAUGUGAGUGCGUCUUGAAUUUCUAUGAAUGAAAUGCCGCAUGCCACACAGCUCAUUAUAAACAUGGCCAGCGAUUCCAUUGAAUGCUACCCGAUGCCGCUGGCAACAACAACAACAAUUUCUCCUCCCCUUCCUUGGGAUGGGGUCAUUUGCCAGAGCAAAACGUGACAACUGCGUUGCCUGCAUUCCAAGUGUUGUUUUUUUAAUCUCAGAGCCUCAGUCUGGAGUCUGCCUAAAUGGGAGCGCCAUGAAGUACAUAUAGUGGAGCUGCUUUACAUAUACAUAUCAGCCGGCACGACGAGCAGAAUCAGAAGCAGAACCAGACGACACGCUGACUGGCACUGCUGGUAUGCAGACAAUGGCAUGAAAAUUGCAAUUUGCACUACAGUUGUGCGUUUAACGCAGCCCAAUAUACGAAAAAAUAUACAUAUAUUACAUUUCUAUAGAGUUUUCAUUUUUCAAUUAAUCAAACUGUAAAUCUAACUCAAAUUGGCGCAAGUGCGCUUGAAGACAGAGUUGAUUGCAGCCAAGGUUGCCCAUUUGUUGCGUGGGCGGUGUGACCACCACACGACAACAAAGUGACCCUGCGCCAAAAGUUAGAACAGCUGGCAACAACAACAGCUUAUUGCCGCCAAAAGUUGUUGACGCGUAAAAAGUAAUUUGUUUAGUUGCGCUUUGUAAAAUCAAAUUAAAAGUGUCGUAUUUGCCGUGCUUAGCCCAAUAACGUCAAUUUCGCGUGUUGAGUGCAAUAUUCAGCAAAUGUGCUUAUCAAAAUGCAAUUGCAGUAAGUGCCUGCGAUAAGUGUAAGUGUUUCAAGUGUAAGUUCUCCCGCAGCGCGUCGCAAUUAAUUUGACGGGUGCUCCAAAAAAAGUGCCGCAAGUGAUAUACAGGGCUUUAAAUGUUUAACCAGCUGUUAAUGGUGACCACACACAACGAUUAGACAAGUCUUGCGCUACCUCAGCAGAUUCGAGUCCAAGUGCGCCAAAGGAAAAGUCCAGCACGUUAAUGGACAAAGGAAGUGUGUCAAGGUGUGCUUUUAUAUUUUUUUUUAAAUUUUUUUCUGUGCUUUACUGUGUUUUUGGGAUAAAAAGUUAAUUUGAUUUUUUUUGUGAUUUUUUUUCUGUGUUUAAUUGU